AAAUGUAAAUAAAAACUAUAAUAGUAUCUCAAUGAUACCAAAAUAACAUUAUUAAUUGUUGUAAGUUUAAAAAAGAAAAAAAAGGUCUUCUACAUCAAAAUGUAAUAUUCAAUGUUACUUGCAGAUUCUGAUAUGUGAAAUUGACUUUAAGUGAUCAAAAUUCAUGUUUUUUUCAUUAAUUAUUUAAGUGGAAAUCCCUUUCACAGAAUAUAUAAGCUGCAGCUGAUGGCAGAUGGGUUUGAACACUCAUUCUCUCUCUGUGACAGCAUGUCUUCAGAGUUCAUUUCUAGGAAGGGCACUGCAGUAUUUAAAUACAUGAGUAUUUAAACACGCCCCAGAGCCACACACACUGCUGGCUCCUGCAGCUCACAGGUGCUGUCACUGCUAUGAUGCAAAUCAUUUGUUUUGGCUGUGUAUGGAGAUGGCGCCGCCUCCGCAGUGCAUUGACAUGCAAACCAGAUCCCACUAGAGACAUGAAGAGAAGUAUUAAACUGAGGACUGACUGAUGGAUGACUAAGGUUUGCUUAAAGGUUACCAUCUCUUCUUUUCUUUCUAUCUAUCACUCUUUCUCUCUCCUGUCAUUCUCAUUCCCUCCUCCUGAUUAAUGUCUUGAUUAAAUGCCAUGAAAUGACUUGGCGCAUGACACACACAUAUAACUGAGCUCUACAGAUGUAAUAUUAAGCAUGUCCACUUACAUCAGUCCAGCUCUCAUUGACAGUUCUUAGAAUUUAGUAGCCAUUUUUAAAAUUGACUCAGACUGGUUUAUUAUUGAUUCACUCAACUCUCAGUCUCAACCAAUGCAAAAAAAGAGUUAAUCUUGUCCAUUGGAGGUGGCCAGUUACUAUAAAACUAUAUAAUCACUUUGUUCUGCUUUUAAUGCUAUAUAACGAAGCUUGAUUGUAAGGAUUGUCAUGGGCCAGUGUGAAAGAUUCUGUAUUUCAUUGUGCUUUGGUUUACUGUAACAAAUCUAUCUAUCAGAAUCAGCAUUGGUCGCACAUCUACAGAGGUGGAAAGUAACGAAUUACAUUUACUCGCGUUACUGUAAUUGAGUAGCUUUUUUGUGUACUUCUACUUUUUAAAGUAAUUUUUAAAAUCUGUAAUUUUACUUUUACUUAAGUAUAUUUUGUUUUAAGUAUUGUACUUCGCUACAUUUUAAAACACAUUAAUUACUGAGUAAAAAAAAAAUAAAAAAUCGCUCCCUGGAAACUACUGCAGUAACUAAUGGGCAGGGGGCAAUUCUG
ensembl:lncRNA